GACAGAGGGUGCGAACGUUGCUCGGAAUUACUGGGCGUAAAGCGCGCGUAGGCGGCCCGGUAAGUCCGCUCUGAAAGUCCAGGGCUCAACCCUGGAAUGCGGGUGGAUACUGCCGGGCUAGAAUCCGGAAGAGGCGAGUGGAAUUCCUGGUGUAGCGGUGGAAUGCGCAGAUAUCAGGAGGAACACCGAUGGCGAAGGCAGAUCUCUGGGCCGUAACUGACGCUGAGGAGCGAAAGCAUGGGGAGCGAACAGG
rnacentral:rRNA from 1 species